GCCUUUCCGCACCAUGCGGGUUCACAUGGCGGCUGGCUGCCGCUCUUCGUCGCCCUCGGUGGACUCCGGGGGUCCCGCGCUCUGCAGGAGGUUGACGUGUUCCUCUCCCUCGGUGGAGAUACCCGCGACUUCACCUUAGCCGCACGCUGGGUGUACGUCGUCAAUGUGGGUAAUUUGUACCAGCAGAACCUCAGCCUGGGGCUGCUUCACAGUCUGCCCCAGAGGGGGACGUACAUGAGGG